AUUGGAGCUGGACGAAGUUGGUGGGGAAAUGGCGACGUGUGACAGAAAAAAACAAUAGAAGUGGGCGGCGGAGGAAGGGUUAGAGCAAGCGAGGUGGGCAAGAAAGUUUUCAUAAAGCCGAAGUGAAGGGUCCUGGAAGUCGAGGGCUGAGAGACCGGAACGCCACAUCAAGAUUGAACAGAUUGGCUGGAUCCACCAGGACCUGGAUGUCAUCCUCCUCUGAAUGUGGAAGGGAAAGGUUUGUUUGCUGAUCCGUGGGAAAAGAUUUCAGGUGAAUAACCUGUAACUGUCUACCCAUUGUGGGAGCAUCUUCACCAUAAGUAUGAAUUCGGGAAGGUCAAACAUCCAUAGUCGACUGGGAAUUACCAACUUUCUGCUGGUAUCUCUUGUUGGAGCUACCUGUUCCUAAGAGACACAAAAUGACUGGACUUUUCGGAAAAAAAGCUUGCUUCAGCAGUUUAGCGAAAACAAUAGUGCCUUUGAGAAGGGGCCUUUCCAAGGCAAAAGGGAGCAUUAUCUAAACAAGAAAUAUUUAAGGAUGUACAUUUCAAUGAUUUGUAACAAAACACAGAAGAAACAAUGAAAUUGUAACUUAUGAAAAAGUUGAAAAAUCACUAAACUACAGCAAGUAAUUAAUGCUAGUCUCGUUAAGAAUGUAUUCAACCACAAAAACAACAGCUGAAGUUGUCUUGCAGAAAUUAUUGUCUGUUUGAAGCUGUUCACAAUAUUAAUAAGUUCUAGUUAAAGAAUCGUUAAAUAAUUACAGAGAUAGAUUUCAAUAUAACUUUAAAACCUUAUAAUGAAAGCACCAAGAGAAACCAUGAAAGAGAUGCCUGGCUUAUCUUGUUUGAUUAGCUAAAAACUGUUUACAGUAGAAAUAAUUUUAAAAAUUAUAGUAUUAUUAAUAUUGAGUUUCUAUAACAGCAUCAACUUACUUUAUAAGUGGGAAUGGAAUUUGAUAGAGUACAAUGAAUUCAGGCAGUCCUUAGAGAUAAACGAUCAGGGACAUGCCCAAAAUAGAACAGCCAGUAACUUUGGAAUGCAACAUUGAAAGAUCCCAAGGCCUUGCGAUUAUAAGAAUUGUUAAAAAUCAUAAAAAAAACUAAGGAAACGUAGGGCUGUCCAUAGGGAUGUCCACCGUUGAUCAGGUAUUUUACAUAUUUUGGUAGUAGGGAAAAAGAGGAGGGAAUAAUGUUGUAACAAGAAAUGUAUAAAAAUUCUAAUUUUCACUGUAAAAAUGAGCGUAUGUCAUUGAUCUCUCUUCCAAUCUGAGCUACACAUCGUGUUCUCACAUUCGAAGCUAGGUUCGGGGAAGAUUCUUGGGCCUCUCCCUGCACUAACUGAUUAUUGUUUGAAUAAAAGUCCACCACUUGCCUGAA